GAUGAACGCUGGCGGCGUGCCUAAUACAUGCAAGUCGAGCGAACAGAUGAGGAGCUUGCUCCUCUGACGUUAGCGGCGGACGGGUGAGUAACACGUGGAUAACCUACCUAUAAGACUGGGAUAACUUCGGGAAACCGGAGCUAAUACCGGAUAAUAUAUUGAACCGCAUGGUUCAAUAGUGAAAGACGGUUUUGCUGUCACUUAUAGAUGGAUCCGCGCCGCAUUAGCUAGUUGGUAAGGUAACGGCUUACCAAGGCAACGAUGCGUAGCCGACCUGAGAGGAUGAUCGGCCACACUGGAACUGAGACACGGUCCAGACUCCUACGGGAGGCAGCAGUAGGGAAUCUUCCGCAAUAGGCGAAAGCCUGACGGAGCAACGCCGCGUGAGUGAUGAAGGUCUUCGGAUCGUAAAACUCUGUUAUUAGGGAAGAACAAAUGUGUAAGUAACUAUGCACGUCUUGACGGUACCUAAUCAGAAAGCCACGGCUAACUACGUG
rnacentral:rRNA from 1 species